rnacentral:rRNA from 1 species
CCUACGGGUGGCAGCAGUGGGGAAUAUUGGACAAUGGGCGCAAGCCUGAUCCAGCCAUGCCGCGUGAGUGAUGAAGGCCUUAGGGUUGUAAAGCUCUUUUAUCCGGGACGCGGUACCGGAGGAAUAAGCCCCGGCUAACUUCGUGCCAGCAGCCGCGGUAAUACGAAGGGGGCUAGCGUUGCUCGGAAUCACUGGGCGGAAAGGGCGCGUAGGCGGCGUUUUAAGUUGGGGGUGAAAGCCUGUGGCUCAACCACAGAAUUGCCUUCGAUACUGGGACGCUUGAGUGUGGUAGAGGUUGGUGGAACUGCGAGUGUAGAGGUGAAAUUCGUAGAUAUUCGCAAGAACACCGGUGGCGAAGGCGGCCAACUGGACCACCUGACGCUGAGGCGCGAAAGCGUGGGGAGCAAACAGGAUUAGAUACCCUUGUAGUC